rnacentral:rRNA from 1 species
UUGCGCAAGUGGGGAAACCCUGACGCAGCAACGCCGCGUGGGUGAAGAAGGCCUUCGGGUCGUAAAGCCCUUUCGGACGGGACGAACGCUCCGCGGGGACAAGCCGCGGAGUCUGACGGUACCGUAGGAAGAAGCACCGGCUAACUCCGUGCCAGCAGCCGCGGUAAUACGGAGGGUGCGAGCGUUGUUCGGAAUUACUGGGCGUAAAGCGCGUGUAGGCGGCUUUGCAAGCCAGACGUGAAAGCCCUCGGCUUAACCGGGGAAGUGCGUCUGGAACUGCUUGGCUCGAGUACAGGAGAGGGAGGCGGAAUUCCCAGUGUAGAGGUGAAAUUCGUAGAUAUUGGGAGGAACACCGGUGGCGAAAGCGGCCUCCUGGACCGAUACUGACGCUGAGACGCGAAAGCGUGGGGAGCAAACAGGGUUAGAUACCCUGGUAGUCCACGCGGUAAACGAUGGGCACUAGGUGUGGGGGGUAUCCACUCCUCCCGUGCCGAAGCUAACGCAUUAAGUGCCCCGCCUGGGGAGUACGGCCGCAAGGUUA